CCUACGGGAGGCAGCAGUGAGGAAUAUUGGUCAAUGGUGGUAAGUCUGAACCAGCCAAGUAGCGUGCAGGAUGACGGCCCUAUGGGUUGUAAACUGCUUUUAUGCGGGGAUAAACUGCGUCACGUGUGAAUUAUUGCAGGUACCGCAUGAAUAAGGACCGGCUAAUUCUGUGCCAGCAGCCGCGGUAAUACGGCAGGUCCGGGCGUUAUCCGGAUUUAUUGGGUUUAACGGGAGCGCAGGCCGCCUCUUAAGCGUGCCGUGAAGUGCCGUGGCUCAACCAUGGCACUGCGGCGCGAACUGGGUUGCUUGAGUGCGCCGGACGGAGGCGGAAUUCGUGGUGUAGCGGUGAAAUGCUUAGAUAUCACGAAGAACUACGAUUGCGAAGGCAGCAUACGGUAGCGCUACUGACGCUGAGGCUCGAAGGCGCGGGUAUCGAACAGGAUUAGAUACCCUUGUAGUC
rnacentral:rRNA from 1 species